GACAGAGGGUGCAAACGUUGCUCGGAAUUACUGGGCGUAAAGCGCGUGUAGGCGGGACGAUAAGUCAGGUGUGAAAUCCCUAGGCUCAACCUAGGGACUGCAUUUGAAACUGUCGGCCUUGAGUGAUGGAGAGGAUGGCGGAAUUCCUGGUGUAGAGGUGAAAUUCGUAGAUAUCAGGAGGAACACCGGUGGCGAAGGCGGCCAUCUGGAAAUCUACUGACGCUGAGACGCGAAAGCGUGGGGAGCAAACAGG
rnacentral:rRNA from 1 species